CCAUCAUGUGUUCUGUGAGUGUUUGCUUUUGCUCUCUCAAAUUGCACCUGCAUUAACCAAUGCAUCUGUAGCCAUACCUGUGAACAGCGGGUCACAUCACAAAUAGCCACAUUGCUAAAAUAUUUUAUUUUUAAGGCUCUGAGCAAAGUUUUUAUCUGAAUUUACGUAAUUUUCCCUUACAUUUCAUUCCCCCACCCAAACUGUACUACUCUGGAUCUUCCCCAUGUCUUUGCUUACUUGUGUUUAUCUAUUUAUCUGGUCUACUAUGAAGGCAUCAUCCCAACCCUCCAUAAUUACUUAUUAGGAGCAAUGGAUGAGGAAAUUGGAGAAACUGAUCAUUUAGUUACAGAAGAUGUACCCUUAGAGGGAUUAACUGUGUGGAAUCAUUGCUUCAUUGACAGUCAUCCUGACCUAAGUUUUCAACUUCCUUUCUUCCUUAUCAUUUUGAGUGUGCUACCUAAGGUGGGAAAGAACCAUUUCGGGGCUUUGUGUGAAAAUUGAGUAUUUAAUAUCCACACAUGAAGGUGGGAAAGAAUUCAAUAAAUCAGUGACAUCUCUGUCUUUAGAAGGGAGACUGAUUAAAAGUCUUCCCUUGUGUCUUAGAUGAAGCUCCUGGAAAGGGCAGCUUGGCUUUUUGAUUUGAAGAAGAUAUAGUUAAUGGGUUGUUAUGUGCUCUUGAAGGGAACCCUCCUCUGGAUACAUUAUUGUAUGCUGGAAUUACCAUGGUAUUCUCUGUGAUGUCACUAAUGUUAUGGAAACAGAAGCUGCCCUCGUGCAUUUAGUUAGUAUUUAUUGGUUUACCCAGAGACAUGUUUUUCAGGAUGAUCAAGCUAUUUACAAAGAAAACAGAGAGCAUUGAGCACAAGAGAGAGAAGAAGACGAAAUUAGGACAUUUUUCUUGUUAUAAAAGUGAAAAAAUUAAACGAUCAGGUGUAAACCAGAGAGAGUAAGCUCUGGACUGGUGCUCAGGAGCUUCCUGGAGAAGUUGGGCUUGGGUCACGCCUUCUAGGAUUAGGACUAAUGAUCUGAAACCUCUGGAUUCUUAAAGAAGCGACCCAGAGUCAAGAAUAUCUGAUGAAUGUUUGGCAGACAGCCAGCAAUUGACAACCAUGCAGUGGGUCUGUUAUGAGUUCCUAAGUUUCACUCUCAGUGAGAAAGAAAGCCAAUAGGAGCCACAGGGAUAAAUACUUUGACUCUCAGGGAAGAGUAUUGGACUUAAUCUUCAGAGGCCUCCUGUACAUGUCAUUGACAUGUUAUGACAAGAACAGAGAGUGUGAUACUCCCCUGGAUAUGUUUAAAGAUAUCAGAAUCAUUUGUUUUGAACAUACAUGAUUAGGGCUUGGUGAUCCAAAGCACUAUGGAGUCCAGGGUUUACCUGUAUAUAUCUAACAAUCAUGGCUGGGAGCAGGAGAGUAGCUAAUAGAUCUUGAAGAGAGCUUUCCUCACCUUUCAGUGCUUCAAAGUAUCUGUAGAUUUCCCCUUUCCUCAUGCUUCUUUUUGGGGACACAGCAUGCUUUAUCCUAUGACUGGGCUGUUGUUCUUGUGGUUCCCUUGUGUUUUACUACAGGGUCUGCUAGAAAGGCAACAUCCCAACCUCCUAUCAUCAAUGAGCAAGCAGAGCAGAUUAAGAAGUUGGAGAAACCUGACUAUUGAGCUCCAGAAGAAGACCUAUUUUCUGUUGACUGGGCUCAUAGCUUGAUACUUGAAAUCUGGAUAGACUACGCAAAGUGGAUCUGCUUUUGGAGGAAUUUGCUUACCUUGGAGGAGUUGGAAACAGUGAACAAGGAUUGAUCCACCACCUAAUCCCUUGCUGAGAACAAAGUCUACUCUUCACAGCCUGGUAACUUGCUUCUGUGGCCAGACAUGAAGGCUCUGAAGCAAAGUUGCAUCCUGUUGAUCUGUGAAUUAGCUGAUAGAGGCUAUCAACUUGGUCACAUGAAGCAUAUGAGAGGUUUGACAAGACAGUAUCAGGCCAUUUGUGACACUGCCCAUCCAAUGGAAACAUGGAAGUUUUGAGAAUCACAGAGUGGGAGUCUCAUGUCUGAACUUUGACACCCAGUGGGAAAAUGGCUGACUAUACAUCAGGUCCACACCUGAACUGCAGUGACUGUUUCUCAGACUGUAUACACAGAGGACAUCUGAGAAGUAGUUAACAUUUUAAUUCGGGGCAUCUCCCAAUGGAUCUGUUUGGGCCUUUAUAAGCAUGCAUAUACUUAUUUCAGCACGGUUCAAGAGUAUGGGAACUGCAAGACCCAAUCAGGGAAGAUGUUCCUGUUCAUCGAGCCCACAUUUAGUGAUGCAAAAAUACCAAAGAAAUCCUCAAUCAACUCCCUUUGAAACAUGGUCUUCUGGAAUUUGUAGACAUCACAGCCACUAACAACACAAAUGCGAUUCAAGAUUACGUACAGCAGCUCACUGGAGUGAGAAUAGUUCCUUGGGCCUUCAUAGGUAAAGAAAAACUGCAUAGACAGAUGCAGUGAUCUAAUCUCCCUCGAACAGAAUGGGGAGCUGAUGACUUAACUGAAGCAGAUUGGAGCUCUGCCGUUAUGAAAGGGGUGGCAGGAAAAACCCAUGCUGACAGCAAACAUUCCAUCAUGCUGAUGCCAGUUAACCGGAGAGAUGAUGUGCAUCAUGGAGGAUGUCACUAUUUUCUUAUGAUUGGGAUUCUCAAUAAAUUGGUUUUAUUCUAUUA